rnacentral:rRNA from 1 species
CCCACCCCACCACUCUCUCUCUCAUCCUUAAAAAAACUCUCUCACGAACUCACCUGCUCCUCUCCCCACAAUCUCCUCGCCGCCGCCACCACCCAUGCAGGCCAGUUUCGGCAAGCACCGGCUGCGCGCAACACUCCCCCAAGCUCCCACCUUCCUCCGCUCCGAUCCCCAUGGAAGCCACCGCCGCCGCCUCCCUCGCGCGGACCCUUGCCUCCUCGCCGCUCCCCUCGCGGCUUCCGCCGUAGCCGCGUGCGCAUGUCCGUGGCGCCGGAGUGGCAGAGGAGGGGCAGGGUGGUGCUCGCCGCGGCGGCCUCGACUGGCAACUACGUGGUGCCGUUGGAUGCCGCGCCAUUGGGGAUCACGCGUCCGCUCGUCGAGAUCCUGCGCGACCUCAACAAGCGCGUCCCGGAGACCACCGUGCUCCCCGCCGCGCCUCCGCCUCCGCUUCCGACCUCAACAAGCGUUGGUGAUUAGCAUAGUUGGGCGGGCAAGCUCUGCCGCUGCCGCCGGAGGCUCCAGCUCCUGCGAGUGUACGUUGCACGGGAAGGGGGAGUGCGCCUUGAACGAGUCCGACGACGGGAGGGCCCAGCAGCUGUCGAUGCAGAAUGAGCGGGCCGUCCAUGACGUGCUGGCGAGCUGGGGCGGCCGAAGUGACGUGGCCACUUCGCUAUGGCAGGACGCCUACCACGCCAGUCUGUCUCGCCUCUGGUGAUGAAGUGCUCGGCUCCAGUAGCGUCAGACUGGGGCCUCCUUGUGGUCACGAGGUGUUUGUGGAAAUGCCACAAUGCUGCUGCACGUGUGUUGCAGUCAAAGAGGGGAGAGUGUACCAUACCAACCGGAUGCUCAGCUUCUACGCCCCCAGUGAGCCUCCCCCAUUUGCUGAUUCUAAAACUGCUCAACCUUUUCAGAUCACCGAAGACUUCUCGACAAGUUGGUGUUGUAUGGCCUGGUUGAGCUCAAGGUUAACGGAGACAACAAUUGUCAGUUUCGGGCAUUGUCUGAUCCAUUUUACCGAACUCCUGAACACCAUAGAUUUGUGUGGCAACAGGUGGUCAAUCAGCAGCACAGCCGUAUGUACAAGAAGCAGAGCGCAUCAGUUCAUGCUCGAGCCCCGAAGAAGGUAGCAACGUUUGGGUUUUCCUCAAGGAUGCCAGACACUAUUUAAAGGUUCUAGUGGCGAUGCCGACGGUCGUCGAGAGGUUCGUGGACUGGACGGUGUCGUGUCUGCCGAUGUACGGAGAGGCGAAGCUACUGCUCAUCAUCUACCUCUGGUAGCCCAGCACACGGGGUGCGGGGCACAUGUACGAUGGCUUCCUCCAUCCGCUGGUGUCGUGGCACGAGGCUGACAUCGACCGGGGCCUACUUGAGCUGAGGGCUAGUGCGAGGGACGUGACGGCGUCACAACUCAAGGCGGCGGCUGCCAUCGGUCAAGUGUGGCUCGUCAAGGCUGCCCGCUAUGUUUCGUCGCAGCUGCAGGCCGCGAGAUCAGGCCGGGAAGGCGCCACACAUUGAGGAGUGAGCCAAUUUUUGGAUCGGACCAUAACAACGUGUCUCAGUCUCUGACGUCUAGAAGUAGUGGUAAAUUUUUGAAUUUGCAUGGCAAGGACCACUUACGUAGGUAGCUGACACGCACAAUACUAUGUUUACACUCUUACUUAUGUAAAAGAUAUGAAUUAUACAUGAGUUGCCUCUACAAUGAGGAACUGUGAUAGUAGAUACGACAAUUGUGUGAUAGAAUGGAAUUGAUUGAUUUUAUUUU